CAAGUUAAUUUUUAGUUAGGAGUUUCAUUUACGUUGAUAAUUGUACUGUUCAAUUCAGUAUAGCUUGU
rnacentral:tRNA from 1 species